AAGGUAGUAGUAUAACCUGGCUAGUAUGGGGGACUGUGGAUCCCUUGGUCCGGGUUCAAAUCCCGGCUACCUUCCCA
rnacentral:tRNA from 1 species